UACGUAGGGAGCAAGCGUUAUCCGGAUUUACUGGGUGUAAAGGGCGCGCAGGCGGGCCGGUAAGUUGGAAGUGAAAUCCCGGGGCUUAACCCCGGAACUGCUUUCAAAACUGCUGGUCUUGAGUGAUGGAGAGGCAGGCGGAAUUCCGUGUGUAGCGGUGAAAUGCGUAGAUAUACGGAGGAACACCAGUGGCGAAGGCGGCCUGCUGGACAUUAACUGACGCUGAGGCGCGAAAGCGUGGGGAGCAAACAGG
rnacentral:rRNA from 1 species